CCCUCACUCCCUGCUGACUUGGGUGGCUGGAUAAAUGCCCUACAUCGGUUCACUUGAUCCCCUAAGAACGUCCGUCCAGAGUGAUGGGUGUGACAAAGUGGGACUGUUCUUAAUGUUUCCUCUGAAUAGUGUGGGGGUGCCUCAGUUUCCCCUAGGCAGUUCUUAAGUCUCUAGGGGGUGGGGUAAGGGUGUAUGAUCAUUGCAGAGCCCUAGAGGGCAGGUGUGUGCAGGGGUCUGGACACAGAGAAUGGCCGACACCCUGUUUCCUGGCAACUGAUGGCCUGGGCCCUUCCCCCCUGCAAGGUGAGAGCUAAAGGGUUGGAGAACAAAGGAAUCAGGUGACCACCUGGCCCGGGAAAGGGACAAAGCCCAGAGGAGGAGGGGCUGGAGGGAGUUUUCAGUUUGGGGCUGGCUGGGACAUGGAGUGAAGUGCAGACGUGGUUGUCUGGCUCACUGCCCCCAAAAUGGACCCAGCUGAGGGGUCCCGUUCUCUGCACCUGCAAGCUCUGUGUUAGACCACGUUCCUGUCGUCUAAUAAACCUUCUGUUUUACUGGCUGGCUGAGAGUCACGUCUGACUGCGAAGUUGGGGGGCAGGACCCUCUGGCUUCCCCAGGAGC